CGCCCCCUUACCAAUCGGGGACUCGGAGGGGGAAUUGGCUCGGCCAGGGUGUGACAGAGCAAGGACUGGGGAAGGAGCCCGCCGUGCUGGGGCGCCUCCGAGACAAGAGGUAUUGGCUUGGCUUCCCAGAGUCCUAAGUUCCAGCAUGGCAUGGAUCUCAGGAGACACUGCUAGUUCUCCCCCUGGAAGGGCUGCACCCAC
rnacentral:lncRNA from 1 species